rnacentral:rRNA from 1 species
AUGAGUAUCAUCUGUUGGAACUAUCGAGGUGUGGGCAAAGCCUCGACAGUUCGUGAACUUCGCGAGAUCGUGAAGAACUUUGCCCCUACCUUGCUUUGUAUUCUAGAAACUCAAAUAGACAAAGGUAGGGUAGAAAGUCUAGCUACUUCAAUUGGUUUUGAUAAAGGUUAUGCUGUGAGCAGUGUUGGUAGAAGCGGAGGCAUUGGUUUGUUUUGGAAUAAUACAAUUAAUAUUGAUAUUUCUGGCUAUUCUGACUAUCAUUUGGAUUGCGAGGUGCGUGACCCGGGUUUUGACCCGUGGAGGCUGACUCUGGUGUAUGGCGAGGCUCAAACUCAAUUGAGACAUCAGACUUGGGAAACUAUCACCGGGGGCGCCCCCACCUAG